ACGAACGCUGGCGGCGUGCCUAAUACAUGCAAGUAGAACGCUGAAGGAGGAGCUUGCUUCUCUGGAUGAGUUGCGAACGGGUGAGUAACGCGUAGGUAACCUGCCUGGUAGCGGGGGAUAACUAUUGGAAACGAUAGCUAAUACCGCAUAAGAGUAGAUGUUGCAUGACAUUUACUUAAAAGGUGCAAUUGCAUCACUACCAGAUGGACCUGCGUUGUAUUAGCUAGUUGGUGGGGUAACGGCUCACCAAGGCGACGAUACAUAGCCGACCUGAGAGGGUGAUCGGCCACACUGGGACUGAGACACGGCCCAGACUCCUACGGGAGGCAGCAGUAGGGAAUCUCCGGCAAUGGACGGAAGUCUGACCGAGCAACGCCGCGUGAGUGAAGAAGGUUUUCGGAUCGUAAAGCUCUGUUGUAAGAGAAGAACGAGUGUGAGAGUGGAAAGUUCACACUGUGACGGUAUCUUACCAGAAAGGGACGGCUAACUACGUG
rnacentral:rRNA from 1 species